rnacentral:rRNA from 1 species
AGAGUUUGAUCCUGGCUCAGAUUGAACGCUGGCGGCAUGCUUUACACAUGCAAGUCGAACGGCAGCACAGGGAGCUUGCUCCCGGGUGGCGAGUGGCGCACGGGUGAGUAAUACAUCGGAACGUGUCCUGUUGUGGGGGAUAACUGCUCGAAAGGGUGGCUAAUACCGCAUGAGACCUGAGGGUGAAAGCGGGGGAUCGCAAGACCUCGCGCAAUUGGAGCGGCCGAUGCCCGAUUAGCUAGUUGGUGAGGUAAAGGCUCACCAAGGNGACGAUCGGUAGCUGGUCUGAGAGGACGACCAGCACACUGGGACUGAGACACGGCCCAGACUCCUACGGGAGGGAGCA